CGCUGGCGGCGUGCCUAAUACAUGCAAGUCGAACGAGCUCUCCCAAAUUGAUUUUAUGCUUGCAUAAAUGAUUUUUGGAUUCGGAGCGAGUGGCGAACUGGUGAGUAACACGUGGGUAACCUGCCCCGAAGCGGGGGAUAACAUUUGGAAACAAGUGCUAAUACCGCAUAAUUAGUUGGAACCGCAUGGUUCCAACUUGAAAGAUGGCUCUGCUAUCACUUUGGGAUGGACCCGCGCCGUAUUAGUUAGUUGGUGAGAUAAAAGCCCACCAAGACGAUGAUACGUAGCCGACCUGAGAGGGUAAUCGGCCACAUUGGGACUGAGACACGGCCCAGACUCCUACGGGAGGCAGCAGUAGGGAAUCUUCCACAAUGGACGAAAGUCUGAUGGAGCAACGCCGCGUGAGUGAUGAAGGUUUUCGGAUCGUAAAACUCUGUUGUUAAAGAAGAACAAGUGUUAGAGUAACUGUUAACAC
rnacentral:rRNA from 2 species